rnacentral:rRNA from 1 species
CUGGAAAGGCGCGCGAUACAGGGUGACAGCCCCGUACACAAAAAUGCACAUGCUGUGAGCUCGAUGAGUAGGGCGGGACACGUGGUAUCCUGUCUGAAUAUGGGGGGACCAUCCUCCAAGGCUAAAUACUCCUGACUGACCGAUAGUGAACCAGUACCGUGAGGGAAAGGCGAAAAGAACCCCGGCGAGGGGAGUGAAAAAGAACCUGAAACCGUGUACGUACAAGCAGUGGGAGCACAGAGCAAUCUGUGUGACUGCGUACCUUUUGUAUAAUGGGUCAGCGACUUAUAUUCUGUAGCAAGGUUAACCGAAUAGGGGAGCCGAAGGGAAACCGAGUCUUAACCGGGCGUUAAGUUGCAGGGUAUAGACCCGAAACCCGGUGAUCUAGCCAUGGGCAGGUUGAAGGUUGGGUAACACUAACUGGAGGACCGAACCGACUAAUGUUGAAAAAUUAGCGGAUGACUUGUGGCUGGGGGUGAAAGGCCAAUCAAACCGGGAGAUAGCUGGUUCUCCCCGAAAGCUAUUUAGGUAGCGCCUCGUGAAUUCAUCUCCGGGGGUAGAGCACUGUUUCGGCAAGGGGGUCAUCCCGACUUACCAACCCGAUGCAAACUGCGAAUACCGGAGAAUGUUAUCACGGGAGACACACGGCGGGUGCUAACGUCCGUCGUGAAGAGGGAAACAACCCAGACCGCCAGCUAAGGUCCCAAAGUCAUGGUUAAGUGGGAAACGAUGUGGGAAGGCCCAGACAGCCAGGAUGUUGGCUUAGAAGCAGCCAUCAUUUAAAGAAAGCGUAAUAGCUCACUGGUCGAGUCGGCCUGCGCGGAAGAUGUAACGGGGCUAAACCAUGCACCGAAGCUGCGGCAGCGACACUGUGUGUUGUUGGGUAGGGGAGCGUUCUGUAAGCCUGUGAAGGUGUGCUGUGAGG